rnacentral:misc_RNA from 1 species
AAGUCGUAACAAGGUUUGGAUCAGCAAAGUCAAUGAUCUUUCUUCGUCUAUUCAUUUAGACGUAGGUUCAUUUGCUGAAGCCUUAGCAGCCAUUAAUUUGGUGCCCAGAGCGACUUAUUGCAAAAAAAUAAAUACUGGAGAUUAAAUGCUAGUCAAGAUUCUAACACAAUUUUGCAACACUGCUUAAUUGCUGGGAGUUCCUAAAGCUUUGUCGUACCAAGUUGAGAUGAGUGAUUAUUUCAAUGGCCUCGGUGCACACGUUUAAUUAUUUGAACGUUAAAAAUACAACUCUUAGCAAUGGAUAUCUUGGUUCUC